UCUUGCAGGUCGAGAGACCCCCGGCAGACGUGCCUACCCGUCCCGGAUGGUCCCCGACACCUGCUCUAGAGUGAUGAGUGCCUUUGGUCUUCUUGCAUGCGCUCAUUCUGGAGGCCGUGGCUCUGCAGAAGUAUGGCUCCGAGCAUGGCUUGCACACCAGCUGCUGGUCUGUGAUGGGGUGGAGUGAAUUCAGUGCUAUACAAGUGAGAACUGACGAGUGGAGAGUCAGGGAAGCUGCUGUCAUUUCAGAACUGCUUACUUGUUUUCACUGGUGGAAGAGCUGUGAGGCAGAGAGAGACCAGGCUGGUGAAACGUGGAACCAGAUGAUGAAGGAAAAAGGAUCAAUGUGAUGCUCAAUUUGGGCAUUUUGGCUGGAAUAAUAUCGACAUUUUGGAUGGAAUAAUUCUUUGCUGGGAGGGGCUGUGCCAUGCAUUUGAGGGUGUUGAGUAGCGUCCCUGGCACCUACCCACUAGAUGCUGGUAACACCCCAUCUCCAAGUUGUGACAAUAAAAAAUGUCCCCAAACAUUGCCACAUGUCCCACAUGAUGCACUAGUUGAUAGCCUAUUCGAUCUAAUCACACUGGGCAAAGUUCCCUAGUGAGAAGAUUCUAGAAGCACAAUGUUGUUGACUUGUAUUUGUAAUUUGUGAAUGUAUGUAUUUAUGCUUAAGUUAACCUUAAAUAUAUUAGAUAGACACACGCACGCACGCACACACACCCCCCACAUUGCA